rnacentral:rRNA from 1 species
AGCUCAAAUUUGUAAUCUGGCACCUUCGGUGUCCGAGUUGUAAUCUCGAGAAGUGUUUUCCGCGCCGGACCGCAUACAAGUCUGUUGGAAUACAGCGUCAUAGUGGUGAGAACCCCGUAACUGAUGCGGAUGCCCGGUGCUUUGUGAUACACUUUCGAAGAGUCGAGUUGUUUGGGAAUGCAGCUCAAAUUGGGUGGUAAAUUCCAUCUAAAGCUAAAUAUUGGCGAGAGACCGAUAGCGAACAAGUACCGUGAGGGAAAGAUGAAAAGCACUUUGGAAAGAGAGUUAACAGUACGUGAAAUUGUUGGAAGGGAAACGCUUGAAGUCAGACUUGCUAUUUGGAAUUCAGCCGCAAGGUGUACUUUUCAAUUCGCAGGCCAGCAUCAGUUUUCGGGGGUGGAAAAGGGUAGAGAGAAGGUAGCAAUUUCGGUUGUGUUAUAGCUCUUUGCUGGAUUCAUCCUUGGGGACUGAGGAACGCAGCACGCUUUUUGCAAGGCUUUCGAGCUUUUCGUGCUUAGGAUGCUGGUGGAAUGGCUUCAAACGACCCGUCUUG